GCUGAGCGUGCGGCGUCCACGCGCUGAGUGUGCAGCGCUUCAUUCAAACUUUCUCCAGUCUCGGUUCCGGCGUCAGCAAGGUGUGACCAAUCAGAAUCCAGAGACGGGAAUAAAUUAUGCAAAUCACUAUCUGGCGAUGGGUCAGAUGACUCCCAUACUUUUAAAAACUACCUCUGUAGGAGCGUGACAGCAGCGAGCCCUUGCUUCCCUGCGGCUCAGGACGAGGGCAGAUCUGGUUCUGGUGCAGGCGGUUCACAUUCGCUCCCUGCCACUGCCCGCGGCUCCGUGCCGCCAAGUUUUCAUUUUCCACCUUCUCCGCGUCCAGCCCCCCAGCCCCUGGCCGAGAGAAGGGUCUUGCCGUCCCUGAUUGCUGGAAACACCGAGAGGUGGUUUUUGUUUUUAAAACUCCUGUUUCUGGGGAGGGGGUGUGGCGGGGCAGGAUGAGCAACUCCGUUCCUCUGCUCUGUUUCUGGAGCCUUUGCUGUUGCUUUGCUGCUGGGAGCCCCACACCUUUUGGUCCAGAGGGACAGCUGGAAGAUGAGCUUCACAAACCCAAAGCUAUACAGACUGAGGUCAAACCUUCUGUGAGGUUUAACCUCCGCACCUCCAAGGACCCAGAGCAUGAAGGAUGCUACCUCUCCCUCGGUCACAGCCAGCCCUUAGAAGACUGCGGUUUCAACAUGACAGCUAAAACCUUUUUCAUCAUUCACGGAUGGACGAUGAGCGGUAUCUUUGAAAACUGGCUGCACAAACUCGUGUCAGCCCUGCACACAAGAGAGAAAGAUGCCAAUGUAGUUGUGGUUGACUGGCUCCCCCUGGCCCACCAGCUUUACACGGAUGCGGUCAAUAACACCAGGGUGGUGGGACACAGCAUUGCCAGGAUGCUCGACUGGCUGCAGGAGAAAGAUGAUUUUUCUCUCGGGAAUGUCCACUUGAUCGGCUACAGCCUUGGAGCGCAUGUGGCUGGGUAUGCUGGCAACUUCGUGAAAGGAACGGUGGGCCGAAUCACAGGUUUGGAUCCUGCCGGGCCCAUGUUUGAAGGGGCUGACAUCCACAAGAGGCUCUCUCCUGACGAUGCAGAUUUUGUGGAUGUCCUCCACACCUACACGCGUUCCUUCGGCUUGAGCAUUGGUAUUCAGAUGCCUGUGGGCCACAUUGACAUCUACCCCAAUGGGGGUGACUUCCAGCCAGGCUGUGGACUCAACGAUGUCUUGGGAUCAAUGGCAUAUGGAACAAUCACAGAGGUGGUAAAAUGUGAGCAUGAGCGGGCCGUCCACCUCUUUGUUGACUCUCUGGUGAAUCAAGACAAGCCAAGCUUUGCCUUCCAGUGCACUGACUCCAAUCGCUUCAAGAAGGGGAUCUGUCUGAGCUGCCGCAAGAACCGUUGUAAUAGCAUUGGCUACAAUGCCAAGAAAAUGAGAAACAAGAGGAACAGCAAAAUGUAUCUAAAAACCCGGGCAGGCAUGCCUUUCAGAGUUUACCAUUAUCAGAUGAAAAUCCAUGUCUUCAGUUACAAGAACAUGGGAGAAAUUGAGCCCACCUUUUAUGUUACCCUUUAUGGCACUAAUGCAGAUUCCCAGACUCUGCCACUGGAAAUAGUGGAGCAGAUCGAGCAGAAUGCCACCAACACCUUCCUGGUCUACACCGAGGAGGACUUGGGAGACCUCUUGAAAAUCCAGCUCACCUGGGAGGGGGCCUCUCAGUCUUGGUACAACCUGUGGAAGGAGCUUCGCAGCUACCUGUCUCAACCCCACAACCCCGGACGGGAGCUGAAUAUCAGGCGCAUCCGGGUGAAGUCUGGGGAAACCCAGCGGAAACUGACAUUUUGUGCAGAAGACCCUGAGAACACCAGCAUAUCCCCAGGCCGGGAGCUCUGGUUUCGCAAGUGUCGGGAUGGCUGGAGGAUGAAAAAUGAAACCAGAACUUAUUCAUUGUGAAGGAGCAUCUGUAUGGAGGGAAUUCCUGGAAAACAUUGCUGGAAAAACGAACAAUCCUCUACUACUGCCUGGCCAAAAGAUUACAAUUAAGGUGGGCAGACAUUCUGGAUGCUUCUUAAUUGACAUCACUUGAGGUUUCUUGGGAAGAAGGGUCCUUGGAGCUGAAGAUGAUUUUGGGGAGUGAAAGAAACCACCUUUUCCUGGUAGUAGCAGAGCCAAAACUCCAGCCUUCAACCCACAGACCCGGGUCCGUCCCCAGGCAUUAGCACCCUCCUCGGGGCCCCGUUGUCAUCUGUGACUUUUGCCUCCUGCAUCUCAGUUUCCGUGCCUGUCAAGUGGAGAUAUGAUACCUCAUUCUGGGGAGAGACAAUGAAGUACUGCGGUGAAAAGUACACGUGCUGUACAAAAUUAGGAAAUCCUCGUCACCAGACUUAGAGAAACAUACAAAGUGGAGUUGACUCCCAGGAUGGAGACACAGCUUCCCAGAAUCCUGUUUCACCUGAGGCACAGAAGCUUUCCUUUGUUCACCGUUGCCAGCAGUUAUUGGACUGUGGCUGGGAUUACCUGUCAGAAUUCACAGACAUUUCUCCUUUGCUCUGGCACUGAUUGCUGCUGGAAAGACAUCUGAAACGCACCUGAUUUUUCUUCUUAUCUCUCAUCCAUUUGGAAUGUAUUCUGGUGUAGAGUCUAACAAUGUCAUCUUUUUCCUGAUGAUAUCCAGAUGUUGUCUGGGCAGUUUGAGUUUGAGGUGCUGAUGAAGCAUGCAGGAAAAAGAUCAUUCACUGACUGGGCACGGUGGAUCACACCUCCGAGCACCUUGGGAGGCCAAGGCAGAAGAAUUGCUUGAGCCCAGGA